rnacentral:rRNA from 1 species
UUGCAGUUAAAAAGCUCGUAGUUGGAUUUCUAGCGGACGCCGAUGGUCUGCUCCGCGAGGAGUCGGUACUGAUUGGUCGUCUGUUAUCCUUGGGAUGAUCGGGUCUGGCAUUCAGUUGUCGGGUUCGGGAGUCCCAUCGUUUACUGUGAAAAAAUUAGAGUGUUCAAAGCAAGCUUAGGCUCUGAAUAUAUUAGCAUGGAAUAAUAAGAUAGGACCUUGGUGGUCUAUUUUGUUGGUUUGCACGCCGAGGGUAAUGAUUAAUAGGGAUAGUUGGGGGUAUUCGUAUUCAAUUGUCAGAGGUGAAAUUCUUGGAUUUAUGGAAGACGAACUACUG